UACGGAGGGGGCCAGCGUUGUUCGGAAUCAUUGGGCGUAAAGGGCGCGUAGGCGGCCAAGCAAGUCAAAGGUGAAAUCCCUCGGCUCAACCGAGGAACUGCCUCUGAUACUGCCUGGCUUGAGUCCCGGAGAGGGUGGCGGAAUUCCCAGUGUAGCGGUGAAAUGCGUAGAUAUUGGGAGGAACACCUGUGGCGAAGGCGGCCACCUGGACGGGUACUGACGCUGAGGCGCGAAAGCUAGGGGAGCAAACAGG
rnacentral:rRNA from 1 species